GCUAAUUCCAAGGUGACAUGGGAAGAUUUCAGAGGGUAGGUGAGGGCUGGGGCACGCUCAGAGGUGGUGCUUGCCUAAUAUGCCCAAGCCUUGGAUUAGAUCCCUAACACCCCAAAAGAGGAGGAACUGAGCCUUGGGGGAUUUGGGUGAGCCUCCUGGGAGGUGGUUAUUAGCUGAGCUAAGGAGUCAGCUAGGAAUGGGGAAAAAAGAGGUCAGUACAGGCAAGGGCAGUGCAGGCAGUUCAGCUUGAGCAUAGCUUUCUAGAAACUACAAGUGGUUCAGCAUGGUAGUGUGAGGAGUCUGAGGGUGGGGUGACAAAGCAGCAGAUAUGGCUCAUGGACUUAGGCUUGGACUUUAUCUCCAUAAUGAGUGGGGGUGGGGGGCCGCUGCAAGUCCUCCGUGGGAGGGGGCAGAAUUUAUCUUCCCAAUUACCAGAGUACAGCCAAUAGUGUGCAUUCCUUUCCUCAGUGAACUGUCAGUGAAGAUCUGAGUAAUGUCUACACUGUGUUCUAUGUACACACCACGCUUCCUUUACCUACCCCAGCCUCAGAGCAUACAGCUCUCCAUCAUACACUCUUGCUCCAGACCCACCUAACUUUCCUGUUUUCAGACUCACCCGUCUUUUAUUACGCUUUUGUAUACCCCACACUCCUGGCAUCCCUACCAACCCUACUUUCAAGAAAUUAAUGGAUUUUUUUUUCUUUUCUUUUGAGAUGGUGUCUUGCUAUGUUGAUGAGGCUGGCCUUGAACUCAUGUGCUUAGGUGAUCCUCCAGUCUCAGCCUCCCAAGGACUACAAGGAGUACACUGGGAUAAAGAAAUAAACUCAAUGUUCCCCACCCUCUUCCUUGACAGCAGAACAUCAAUGCUGUUUUAUUCUUCUUUCUUUGAAACCAAUCAGGAAAAACAAACCUAUGCACAAAUAAUUCAGAUCGAAGGUUAACUCUGUUGGGUCUGAGCCAGGAGUUCUCCCUCAAUCAGUACUACCCCUCUAGGAAGCAUGUAUGGAGAGAAAGAGAGUAGUUUUUCAGUGUUACAAGGCCUGGGGUGACACUGAUGUUUAGAGAGAAGGGACCAUGGAUGCUAAAUGGCAAAAAAAUUGCAUAAGAACUCCCAAGUCAAAUAACCAAAGCAAUCAUGGUGCUCUCAUGCCCCUUGUCAAUCACCACUUUAGGGAUAUCUAGUGACACAUUUCUGGUCAAGAAGCUAUGAGUGACCUAUUAUGAAACCUCUGGGGUGCUUCCCCAAAAACAGUUUCUUCCCAAUCUUCCAUUUCCAUCACUGGCACCUCCAUUUUCUGUUACAAAGUCUUAAAAAUAAUUUGGACUUCUAACCCUUAAGGUUGGGGUGACUAUGAAUUUAUAUUUGCCCAUGAUAAUCUGAUUUUACUCCUAGUCUCCCGGUGUAAUUGUUAAUAGUGCCCACUUUCACUUCCAAAAGUCUUCUAAAUUGCAGGGCAGAUUAUAUGGUGGACUUAUUUAUUCCCACUGAGUCCUGGUCAUGCUUGCAAAAAGUACCUCUAACACAGGAGUCAGCAAACUGACCUGCAGGUUGUUUUUGUACCUACUGAGAGCCUUAAAAAAUGGCUUUGACGUUUUUUGGGAGAUUGGGGGGGAAUCAAAAGAAUACUAUUUCAUGACCACUGAAAUUAAAUUUCAGUGCCUGUAAAUAGUCUCAUUGGAACACUGCCACACACAUUGUCCUCUACGACUUCCUCAUUACAGGGCAGAGUUGUGUAGCUAAGACAAGAGACCGCCCACAGAUCCUAAAUCAUCUGGCCCUUUUCUGACAAUGUUUGCCAUGCCCUGCACUAAUGCACUAGUUUCAAGUCUCCUUACUGCAUGCAAGCUUACAAAAGUCUACUGUUUGCUUCUUCUCCCUUCUCAUAUUCCUGAUUGCUAGAUGAUCUCUAGAGGAAGAGAACUGAUCUUGCCCCAUCCGUACUCACUGCCAGUGUUUCCUCCAAAGCCCGACAGUACUGUCCUACUCCUUGAUCCUAAAGACUACAACCUAGAUUUCCAGACUUUGCUCCUCUUCCUUUAAAGCCAAAUGGACUACUUUGUUUCCCUACCGGGCUUAUACCAUAAGCAGUCACUGCCCGUCUAUGCCUCUCCUCCAGUCCAUCGGUUCCUCAAAAUUACACGAAAACAGUCACUCCUUCAUUCAUCAAACACGGGGGGGGGGGAGGCUCAGAGACACAAGGACAGACUAGGGCAGGGCACAGCCUGUCAAAGGAGCCCAGUGCACGAAGCAGGCGUGCCCAGAACGAGGCUCCGGAGGUGACAUUUACACUGGGAUUUUAAAGAUGGAGAAGCAGGCCAAAGGACGUCGUCCCAGCUGCACUAAAUAGGAAUAAGGCUGAAUAGGCGAAGAGGACGCCACCUCAUCUCCCCACUUCCCCACGCCGCGGAGACCGGGGUACGAGCAAUGAGGAGACCUCUGGUCUGAGCUCCUUUAAGGGAAUUCUGCAUGAGCAGCCAAAAACCGCCGGGAGCGGCGCGGGGAUGCCAAGGAACCCCAUCCUCUCCGGGGCCGAGGACUCCAGCUCGUCGCCAAAACUUCUGGGCGCUGCCAGGUCUGCACGCCCACGCCGCCGGCGCCCGGGGAGAGACUCGUCGCCGCGCCUCACAGCGAACACCACGCGGCGGCCUGGCCCCGGCGUCCCGUCCGGGA
rnacentral:lncRNA from 1 species